rnacentral:rRNA from 1 species
GAUGAACGCUAGCUACAGGCUUAACACAUGCAAGUCGAGGGCAGCAUGACGAUAGCUUGCUAUUGUUGAUGGCGACCGGCGCACGGGUGAGUAACGCGUAUCCAACCUUCCCGUUGCUAGGGGAUAACCUUGCGAAAGUAAGACUAAUACCCUAUGAUGUUCUUCGCAGACAUCUAAAGAGAACGAAAGAUUUAUCGGCAACGGAUGGGGAUGCGUCUGAUUAGGUUGUUGGCGGGGUAACGGCCCACCAAGCCGACGAUGCGUAGGGGUUCUGAGAGGAAGGUCCCCCACAUUGGUACUGAGACACGGGCCAAACUCCUACGGGAGGCAGCAGUGAGGAAUAUUGGUCAAUGGACGGGAGUCUGAACCAGCCAAGUCGCGUGAGGGAGGACGGUCCUACGGAUUGUAAACCUCUUUUGUCGGGGAGUAACGUGCGGGACGCGUCCCGUAUUGAGAGUACCCGAAGAAAAAGCAUCGGCUAACUCCGUG